AUUGAACGCUGGCGGCAGGCCUAACACAUGCAAGUCGAGCGGAUGAGGGGAGCUUGCUCCUGGAUUCAGCGGCGGACGGGUGGGUAAUGCCUAGGAAUCUGCCUGGUAGUGGGGGAUAACGUCCGGAAACGGGCGCUAAUACCGCAUACGUCCUGAGGGAGAAAGUGGGGGAUCUUCGGACCUCACGCUAUCAGAUGAGCCUAGGUCGGAUUAGCUAGUUGGUGGGGUAAAGGCCUACCAAGGCGACGAUCCGUAACUGGUCUGAGAGGAUGAUCAGUCACACUGGAACUGAGACACGGUCCAGACUCCUACGGGAGGCAGCAGUGGGGAAUAUUGGACAAUGGGCGAAAGCCUGAUCCAGCCAUGCCGCGUGUGUGAAGAAGGUCUUCGGAUUGUAAAGCACUUUAAGUUGGGAGGAAGGGCAGUAAGUUAAUACCUUGCUGUUUUGACGUUACCAACAGAAUAAGCACCGGCUAACUUCGUG
rnacentral:rRNA from 1 species